rnacentral:tRNA from 1 species
CGCGGGGUAGAGUAGCGGUCACUCGACAGUGUCAUAAGCUGUACAACCGGGUUCGACUCCCGGCCCCGCAA